AUGAAGAUGAAAAAUAAUUCUUAUAUAGAUACAGGUACAGUACCGAUUAAUAGUAUAUUAGUUGAGGAAACAGAACAACUGGUUGACACAUAUAAAUUUAAUAAUGAAUCUGAUAAAAAGUAUCAUAAAUCUACUAUAACAAAAAGAAAAGUUAGUAAAUAUAGUUUGAGUUUUCAUAAAUCAUUAGCAGUCGUAAAUGUAGCUGCAGGAUUAGAUGGAUGUGAUGAUCAAUUACUACCAGCUAGUUUCAGAGCAUUAGAAGCAGAUUUAAAUUUACAUCCAUCUUUAUUAGGUUAUAUUACAUUAGCACAAACAUUAAUGUUAAGUUUAUUUAGUCCUAUAUGGGGCUUUUUAUCUGAUAGAUAUUCUAGAAAAGGGAUGCUAGUUUUUGGUACAGCUUUAUGGGGUGUAGCAACAAUACUUUUAGCCAACAUAAAUGAUUUUGCUCACAUUGUAUUUUUUCGAGCUAUCAACGGUAUGGCAUUAGGUAGUAUAGGUCCUAUAUCUCAAAGUAUAUUAGCAGAUGCAGCAAAAAAUGAAAAUCUCGGUUUAUCAUUUGGUCUUGUUCAGUUAUCAUCCAGUAUAGGAAGAUUAAUUGGUGGUGUUGUUACUACAACAGUGGCAUUAAAUUAUUAUGGUGGCAUAAGAGGUUGGAGAUUAUGUUUUAUUACUGUUGGUGUACUUAGUAUUUUAUUAAGUAUUAUAGUAGCUUUUUUUGUAGAUGAUGCACCAAGACAGGUUCGAAAAAAACCUUUUACAAUUCCUACAUCGCAAUUAAAAGAUGAUGUAGCAAAUUCAGCAACAAAUGGUGGUGAUAAUGUAACUAGACCAGAUAGUUUAAGAAGUGAAUAUAGUCAAAGCUAUAUAUUAUAUCAAAACAUUAAAGAAUUACUUAGAGAUAGUUUAUCAAAAAAAAGUAUUAUUAUUAUACUUUUAGAAGGUUUUACUGGUACAAUUCCAUGGUUAGCUUUAAGCUUUAAUACUAUGUUUUUUCAAUAUUGUGGUUUAAGUGAUUUACAAGCAGCUGUUAUAACUGGAUGUUUAUUAAUCGGUAGUGCAUUAGGUGGUGUUAUUGGUGGACAUUUUGGUGACAUCAUGCAUGAUAUAUCUGAUACACAUGGUAGACCACUUUUAGGUCAAAUAGCUAUGUUUGGCAGAGUACCCCUUGUUUUUUUUAUUUACACCAUUAUACCUAAAAAAAGUGAAAGUUUUGAAUUAUUUAGUUUAGCUUGUUUUUUGCUUGGUUUAUCAUCCAUAGCAGGUGUAGCUGUCAAUAGACCUAUCGUAUCAGAUAUUAUUAGGCCAGAUUAUAGAGGUACAGUUUUUUCAUUAACUAUAGCUAUAGAAGGUGUAGGUUCUUCUUUAAUAGGUGCACCUUUGUUUGGUUAUUUAGCAGAAAAAGUGUUUAGUUAUGAAAAUACUAGUUUAUUAAUUUCGGAAAUGCCUGAUCAGUUAAGAAGUAACAAUGCAGAAGCGCUUUCAAAAACAUUAUUUUAUAUGACAUUAAUCCCUUGGAUAAUGUCCUUUAUAUUUUACAGCUUGUUGCAUUUUACAUAUGGAAAAGAAUAUCGCAAUAUGAAUCAAAUUAUUGAAAGGGAGUACAAGUAUGAUGAUGAGGAUGAUGGUGAUGUUAUAGACGGGUAA
rnacentral:lncRNA from 1 species